GCGAGCGUUAAUCGGAAUUACUGGGACGUAAAGCGCAUGCAGGUGGUUUGUUAAGUCAGAUGUGAAAGACCCGGGGCGUCAACCUACGGAAUAGCAUUUAGUAAACUAGGCAGACUAGAGUACUGUAGAGGGGGGUAGGAAUUUCAGGUGUAGCGGUGAAAUGCGUAGAGAUCUGAAGGAAUACCGGUGGCGAAGGCGGCCCCCUGGACAGAUACUGACACUCAGAUGCGAAAGCGUGGGGAGCAAACAGGAUUAGAUACCCUGGUAG
rnacentral:rRNA from 1 species